AUGGUGAGGCAAUUGAAAGAGGUAGAGUUGUUGACAAGACACCAAGGUGGCGGUGGUGGUGGCUGGGUGGAAGAGUUUGCAAGUGUAGUUUAUAUGUUAUGUGCAGUAUUAGUGACUCUGUCCCUUUUUGCUGCUAUUAUCUUCUUCUGUGCAGAUGGAAUAUCCAAAGACUCAACCAAAGACUCCGGCAACACAGUAUAUGCCAAUGGUUCUGCCUGUGCGGCGGCCGGGUGUGGCGCAGGUUGUGGCGGAGGCUGUGGUGGUUGA